GGCCGCGGGAAUUCCAUUAAAGCCUAACACAUGCAAGUCGAACGGAAAGGCCUCCCUUUGCUGGGGUACUCGAGUGGCGAACGGGUGAGUAACACGUGGGUGAUCUGCCCUGCACUUUGGGAUAAGCUUGGGAAACUGGGUCUAAUACCGAAUAUGACCACUUCUUGGAUGUUGUGGUGGAAGGCUUUUGCGGUGUGGGAUGAGCCUGCGGCCUAUCAGCUUGUUGGUGGGGUAAUGGCCUACCAAGGCGGCGACGGGUAUCCGGCCUGAGAGGGUGUACGGACACAUUGGGACUGAGAUACGGCCCAGACUCCUACGGGAGGCAGCAGUGGGGAAUAUUGCACAAUGUUUUCUAGCCUGAUGCAGCGACGCCGCGUGGGGGAUGAAGGCCUUCGGGUUGUAAACUCCUUUCGCUAUCGACGAAGCCUUCGGGUGACCGUAGGUAGAUAAGAAGCACCGGCUAACUACGUGCCAGCAGCCGCGGUAAUACGUAUGGUGCAGGCGUUGUCCGGAAUUACUGGGCGUAAAGAGCUCGUAUGUGGUUUGUCGCGUCGUCUGUGAAAAUCCCGGGGCUUAACUUCGGGCGUGCAGGCGAUACGGGCAUAACUUGAGUGC
rnacentral:rRNA from 1 species